rnacentral:lncRNA from 1 species
GGUGAAUAUUCACCUCAAGUUACUGUCAAGCUGCAUCAGAAAUUCUCAGGAAACAACCAUUCCAAUAUUAAUGGAGAAUCUAUUAAUUCUCGUCAGUUAAUGGGCUCUAAAAUUUUCAUCAAUUCCAUGAAUACAACAUCUUCUGAUGAAAGGCAUCCCAUCUUUUGGCUUGGCUCAACAAAUCUUGCAGUGGCAGCGACCUUACAUGGUAUGGUAUGCCUUUCCUUGGUCUUUUAUCUUGUAGAAAGCACAUGAAUAUGCACAUAUUUCUGAUGUUCAUUUCUUUAAUUUUGCUAAAUUUCCUUUGGAUUUAUAAGCCCUGAGGCUGCGAAGAUUCACCUCUAUAGGCAGUAUGGUUGGCAUUUGAGCCAGAUCUGUACUUUUAGUUCGAAACUGCAUGGGCUCAGAGAUGUCACAUCACUGCUUGGUUUGAGUUUGACUUUAAGCUCAGGCGAAUUUAGAUUUGAAUGUUCUAAAGUGUACCUGCAAAUCCUAACGUACACAACCAGACAACCCCCUACUUUCACCAAAAAGAAAAUCCCAACCCCCAACCAGAUGCACAGAUGCUCAGGCACGAUACAGGCAUAUGUAUUUAAGCAUAUGUAUUUUUCCUUGGUUUGGGAAUAUGAUAUAUAGGGGUGGAUCGAGCUAAUAGGCCCAUAUCAUCAUACCUUUUCAGUAAAAUUGUUUAAGCAUCUGCAGCCAAGGAAAAAUCCUCAGCUGGGACAUUCUUCAAGGUUUGAAAGUCUAAUGAUGAAAAGGGAAAAUGCAACAUUUAGGCAAU